rnacentral:rRNA from 1 species
AGAGUUUGAUCCUGGCUCAGGACGAACGCUGGCGGCGUGCUUAACACAUGCAAGUCGAACGGAGUACCCUCGAAAGAGAUUUCGGUCAAUGGAGAGGACUACUUAGUGGCGGACGGGUGAGUAACGCGUGAGGAACCUGCCUUUCAGAGGGGGACAACAGUUGGAAACGACUGCUAAUACCGCAUAACGUACGGGUAUCGCAUGGUACUGGUACCAAAGAUUUAUCGCUGAGAGAUGGCCUCGCGUCUGAUUAGCUAGUUGGUAGGGUAACGGCCUACCAAGGCGACGAUCAGUAGCCGGACUGAGAGGUUGGCCGGCCACAUUGGGACUGAGAUACGGCCCAGACUCCUACGGGAGGCAGCAGUGGGGAAUAUUGGGCAAUGGGCGCAAGCCUGACCCAGCAACGCCGCGUGAAGGAAGAAGGCUUUCGGGUUGUAAACUUCUUUUGACAGGGAAGAGCAGAAGACGGUACCUGUCGAAUAAGCCACGGACUAACUACGUG